GCCAGUUUGGCUCAGUGGAUAGAGCGUCAGCCUGUGAACCUAAAGGUCCCGGGUUCGAUUCCGGUCAAGGGCA
rnacentral:tRNA from 1 species